AUUGAACGCUGGCGGCAGGCCUAACACAUGCAAGUAGAGCGAGCGGCGGACGGGUGAGUAAUGCUUGGGAAUCUAGCUUAUGGAGGGGGAUAACUACGUGAAACUGUAGCUAAUACCGCGUACCAUAGGAUGAGCCCAAGGGGGCGUAGGUAGUUGGUGAGGUAAAGGCUCACCAAGCCGACGAUCUCUAGCUGGUCUGAGAGGAUGACCAGACACAAUGGGACUGAGACACGGCCCAGACUCCUACGGGAGGCAGCAGUGGGGAAUAUUGCGCAAUGGGUGAAACCUGACGCAGCUAUGCCGCGUGAAUGAAGAAGGCCUUCGGGUUGUAAAGUUCUUUCGGUAGCGAGGCGUUAACUACAGAAGAAGCACCGGCUAACUCCGUGCCAGCAGCCGCGGUAAUUC
rnacentral:rRNA from 1 species